AAAAAAUUCCAUCUGCGCUUUCUCAAAGAAACUUUUACAGUGUGUUGUACUACUUUUGGGACAAAUUAUAUCAACAUUAUAGAAAACUUCAUCGGCUCUAACUCAAAAUAUGGACAAUUUUAUGUUUAGGGCGUCUUGAAAUCUUUUGACAGCUUCCGAAGUGCUAAUUUUUAACCUUUUUCAACUGGACCAAAUCACUACUUU
rnacentral:lncRNA from 1 species